CACACACACACACACACACACACAAAAGCAGCUGGAAAAUUUAUUACGCCCAAGAGAAAUAUGAAUUCUGGCAAGAUUAUAGAGGAUUGAAAAAGGAUGCAGAAGGAAAAAGAAAUUUCAAACAGCUUUGCAAAUAAAAUGGAAGGUGCAGAGUUUCUUAUUCAAAAAAGAGAAUACCUUUAAACUGUACAGAGUAGAGCCUUGACCUUGGGACUUAGAGUGUACUCUGGAACUGAUUAAGUCUUAAAACUGCACAGAGGGCUAAAAACAUGAUAUGAGUUAGAUAAAAGCUGCUUUUAUAAAAAUGACCUCUAGGUUGAAAAUUAGCUACAGAUUAAAAAAAAAAAAAAGAUGGCCAUCAGCAGGAUAGUUAUUAAAGAACAGGAAAAGACAUCUUUCUUGGAUCAUUUAUUAACCCUUUUAUUCAUUUAACAAAUAUUUAUUUGUACCUAAUAAUGUGCUAUGUUCUAGGGAUAGAAUGGUAAACAAGAGAGCAUGGGUGCUGCUCUCAAAGAGUUUAUAAUCUAUGAAGGAGAUACACAAGUAAUUACAAAACAAUGUGGUAGUGUUGCUAUAAGGUAGUGGGUGAAGGGUAUUAUGACAGCAUGUAUAGGGUCAUCUGGUCCAGUCUGGGGAGGGCUUCUUGGAUAUUCAAGUUGAGAUGUGAAGGCUGAAUAGGAAUUAGCCAGAAGAAAGAAGGGGAGGGAUAUGGGGAAAAUGUCCAGAAAGAGAGAACAGACUGUGUGGAAAUCUAGCAUGGCCAGGUUAAGAAAAUAAAAGCAGCUUAGGAAGUCUAAAAUGAAGUGAGGAAAUGGUGAGAGCCAAGGCUGAAGAGACAAAAGCAAGCACAUAAGAGACCCUAUGAGCUGUAUCGAGGAGUUUGAACUUCACCCUGUGGCAUGCUUCGUAUAAUGGUCGAUAAACGUUUCUCGACUGUACAAAUGAAUGAAGGUGGCCAAUAGAGAAGAAACGAAGGUCAGAAAAAGAUCCGAAAAGGCUUCCCUAGAGAUUCUUAUACGCACUGACUGGGCUGGAGGACUGGUUAUGAGACUCUGCUUCCCAUCUCAAAAGAAGAGGGGACUGAGCACCAGAGUGGUGCUAACUACCUUCCUUACUUCUCCCCUCAACCUCCCACUCCAGAUUAAUGAGUUUUAAGAAAGACUUAUACUAUCUUGUGAAGGAGGGGCAGAACUUAUCAUCCCCAAUUCACGUAGAAAAAGUUGUCAUAUGAGCAGAUCUCCCCGAUGGAGGUGUUAUAACUGCUAUCAAGUGAUUAGCCCUUUUCCUCUGGAGGGACUGCACUUUUGAUAUCCUGCCGUCCACAUGCCUUUUUAUUGGUAGGUCCAUGUGCUCUAGGGGUUUAAUCUAAGAAAGGACUGACUAGGAGUAGGAACUAAAGCUGGACCGAAUAGAGCCCAGGAGGAUUGUAAUUCUGAAUCAGUCAUAAUUAUUGGCCUCAAAACAGAUGCUGAGGGAUGUAGCUGCAUAGAGUACGGGCUACUGAAGACAUGCAGCUGCUUCUGAGUGGAAACUGGCAGCAGUUGUGUGGUAGCUUAAGCUGGGUCAUCUUAUUCUAGAUGGCUCUCACAUCAUCCUCACAUUCUUUAGAGGAUGAAAGUAAUUGUCAAUCUGUCCCCAGUCAUUUCUUAAGGUCAAAGAACCUCAGGUUCCUAAUAAACACAUGGGGUUAAGAUUCUGUCUUGAGUCUUUUCUGAGAAAAUGGAUCUCCAGAGUGUCUGUUCCACAUUGAAAAACUCUCACCAGGUAACUGCAAGGCAGGUUGGGAGGGACAGAUGGAAACCACCACCCACCUUUCUUCCCAGUCUUACCGCUGUUGGAGGAAUCUCUCAGGGAGUGGCACCAUUCAGCAGGCUCCAUGCUUGGCAGCCAACUCACUAAUCUUUAUGACACCCCUGGAGGUAGAUAGGUGGCAAAUGACAUCUCUAGUUUGUAGACAGAAAAGUGAGGUACAGAGAGGUUUAAGGGACAAUAAUAACAAAGCUACUAAAUGGCAGAAAUGGAAGGAAAAAUCCCAGUUCCUUGAUGCCUCUGUCUCUUUGUUCCUAAACAGGCUUCCUCUUUUGGGGGAAGUCCAGGAAGGAAAAUGUGGGGGGCAGGGGCAGGUUUGAGCAUUGAAGCAGGAUGCUGCUUCAGCCCAGGAAAAACACUCACUUACUUCAUCCACACACUUACGUCCCAGCCGAGACAAGGAGACCAGCAGCCCUUACUUACAGCUCUACAACUGGUUCUAAACAGCACCACCAGUUUCACUUAGACAGGACAUAAUUUUUUUCUUUUGAUAAUUAGGUCCUGGUUGAGAUAGACAUUUUAUUCUGGUAAUGAUCAAGCUAUUCAUUAGACUCUUCCUAAAAUGAGACUUCAGGAGCGAAACCGUAGGCACAAUAGUGCAUCCAUUGGGGUCAAGGAUGCACUCUCUGGUUCUCAGGCCUGAGAUUUUAUUACUUCUCUCAU